rnacentral:lncRNA from 1 species
CCGAGAAUAUUAAUAUUGUAAUAUGGAUAAGUACGAAACUGAUAACACACCCAUAAGAUCUGGGGUCACGAGUCUAGAGCCUCUAAACAGACUGAAUAAUCAUAAUAAAAUCUGAAUACUAAAACCAAAAUCUGGGAAAGUAUAUAAUAAUAAUGAAAUGAAGAAAUAAUGAAGAGCAGCCAGGUCCUGCGAACAUCAUGCAGCUACUUCAACGACUCUGAAAAUAGCUCAGGAGACUAGGAGAAUCAGCUAAGCCUCCGGUGUACCUAAAUCUGCACACAAGAUGCAGGGAGUAGGGGUGAGUACUACCGACUCAGUGAAUAAUAAGUAUAGAAAAUGAUUGAAAGUAAGAAAUCCACAAAGUAUCACAACGCAAAGCUAUAACUAACAAUCCUAUAACUUAGCUACAGGCCAACAGCACAACAGUAUCACAACAACAACCAAGUAUCAGAUAAAGAUGCAAUGCAAUGCACAUGAAUUCGCCGCGGAACGUGCAGCCCGAUCCAUUUAACGUCGAAGGCGCUCACUGGGGGUGUGUACACACUCCGGAGGGGCUCCUUCUCCCCAAGCGCAAUAUUAAUAUAUAUAUAUAUAUAUAUAUAUAUAUAUAUCCGCUGCGGAUCGUGCAACCCGACCCAAGAUCAGUCCACAAUAUGCAUAUGAGCCACAUAAACAGAUUCAACUAAAAUUCCCGUUUUUUCCAAUUAUUACGGUGAAUAUAAUUUAAUUAAUCAAUUUCAAAAAAUAAGGUGACUUAGCAUUUCACUUCGGUGAUUAAACAGAGGACUGAGAUCAAUGAUUAUGCAAUCAUCUUAUCACACAGAUAUUCACCCUAGACGAGUACUACAGAUCGGCACGAGGCCCCAAACAUGGCAUUAAGCCCAAUUAUAAAUAACACAAUGUGCGUAUCAGAUUUCAAUAAUUUACUCAGCUCACGAGAUGGACCAUGUCACAAUACCCAAUCAUUUACAACCCCGCACCUGCCAUGGGUGCGAAUCACGCCCUAACAUAGCGGCACGAUGUGAUAAGCCGGGGUUUCAACCCUCAGGCCAUCACCUAUACAAACUACUCACCUUUAACUGGUCGUAGCCUGGUCU